CGCCUAACACAUGCAAGUCGAACGAAGUAGUAAUACUUAGUGGCAGACGGGUGAGUAACAUGUAGGUAUCUGCCCUUUGGCCUGGAAUAACACGAGGAAACUUGUGCUAAUACCGGAUAAGUCUUUACAGAGAAAGCUUUAUGCACCAUUGGAUGAGCCUGCACUUGAUUAGUUUGUUGGUAGGGUAAUGGCCUACCAAGACUGUGAUCAAUAGCUGAUUUGAGAGGAUGAUCAGCCACAUUGGGACUGAGACACGGCCCAAACUCCUACGGGAGGCAGCAGUGGGGAAUCUUGCACAAUGGAGGAAACUCUGAUGCAGCGAUGCCGCGUGAGUGAAGAAGGCCCUUGGGUUGUAAAGCUCUUUCGUCGGGGAAGAAAAUGACUGUACCCGAAUAAGAAGGUCCGGCUAACUUCGUGCCAGCAGCCGCGGUAAUACGAAGGGACCUAGCGUAGUUCGGAAUUACUGGGCUUAAAGAGUUCGUAGGUGGUUGAAAAAGUUGGUGGUGAAAUCCCAGAGCUUAACUCUGGAACUGCCAUCAAAACUUUUCAGCUAGAGUAUGAUAGAGGAAAGCAGAAUUUCUAGUGUAGAGGUGAAAUUCGUAGAUAUUAGAAAGAAUACCAAUUGCGAAGGCAGCUUUCUGGAUCAUUACUGACACUGAGGAACGAAAGCAUGGGUAGCGAAGAGGAUUAGAUACCCUCGUAGUCCAUGCCGUAAACGAUGUGUGUUAGACGUUGGAAAUUUAUUUUCAGUGUCGCAGCGAAAGCAAUAAACACACCGCCUGGGGAGUACGACCG
rnacentral:rRNA from 1 species